rnacentral:rRNA from 1 species
GACGAACGCUGGCGGCGCGCUUAACACAUGCAAGUCGAGCGAUGAAAUUUCGACAGAUCCCUUCGGGGUGAAGAUGAAAUGGAUUAGCGGCGGACGGGUGAGUAACACGUGAGUAACCUGCCUUUGACAUUGGGAUAGCCUCGGGAAACUGGGAUUAAUACCAAAUGACACUAACUGAUCACAUGAUCCAUUAGUCAAAGAAAUUCGGUCAAAGAUGGACUCGCGGCUGAUUAGCUAGUUGGUGAGGUAACGGCCCACCAAGGCGACGAUCAGUAGCCGGCCUGGGAGGGUGAUCGGCCACAUUGGAACUGAGACACGGUCCAAACUCCUACGGGAGGCAGCAGUGGGGAAUAUUGCACAAUGGGGGAAACCCUGAUGCAGCGACGCCGCGUGAGCGAAGAAGGCCUUCGGGUCGUAAAGCUCUUUUAUGAGGGAAGAUAAUGACGGUACCUCAAGAAAAAGCCCCGGCUAACUACGUG